UACAGAGGUGGCAAGCGUUGUUCGGAAUUACUGGGCGUAAAGGGCGCGUAGGCGGCUUUCUAAGUCAGAUGUGAAAUCCCCCGGCUUAACCUGGGAACUGCGUCUGAUACUGGAGGGCUCGAGUGCGGGAGAGGGAUGUGGAAUUCCAGGUGUAGCGGUGAAAUGCGUAGAUAUCUGGAGGAACACCGGUGGCGAAGGCGGCAUCCUGGACCGACACUGACGCUGAGGCGCGAAAGCUAGGGUAGCAAACAGG
rnacentral:rRNA from 1 species